ACGGUGUGACGAAGAUGAAUCGGU
rnacentral:siRNA from 1 species